rnacentral:ncRNA from 2 species
GGCAGGCGAGCGGGAGAGCCCGAUGCCCUUCUCACGGGAGGGGCAGAGGCGCCGAAGGAGCAACCGCCCCGGAAUCUCUCAGGCAAAAGGACCGCGUGCG